UUAUAUCACUCUAUUCAAAGGAUUGAAAGAGUCUUGUUUGGAGUUGUGUGGGAUUGAAUAAUAUGUUUGCAAUAUUUCAGAAGUUGGUAGAAAAAGAAAAGAAAAAUAGAAAAGAAAAAAAAUGAACGAAAAAAAAUAGAAGGAUGUAUACAUGUCAAUACAUACUCCUUAUGAAAAAGAAGAAAAAAAGAAGAAAAAAGAGAAAGGAGAA
rnacentral:lncRNA from 1 species